rnacentral:rRNA from 1 species
CUUGUACACACCGCCCGUCACACCACGAAAGCCUGUUGUACCUGAAGUCGCCCAAGCCAACCGCAAGGAGGCAGGCGCCCACGGUAUGGCCGGUGAUUGGGGUGAAGUCGUAACAAGGUAGCCGUAGGGGAACCUGCGGCUGGAUCACCUCCUUUCUAAGG